rnacentral:rRNA from 1 species
GACGAACGCUGGCGGCGUGCCUAAUACAUGCAAGUAGGACGCAGUUGCGAACGGGUGAGUAACGCGUAGUUCACUGCCUAUUAGAGGGGGAUAACUAUUGGAAACGAUAGCUAAUACCGCAUACUAGUAGAUGGACCUGCGUUGUAUUAGCUAGUAGGUUGGGUAAUGGCCUACCUAGGCGACGAUAACUAGCCGACCUGAGAGGGUGAUCGGCCACACUGGGAAUGAGACACGGCCCAUACUCCUACGGGAGGCAGCAGUAGGGAAUAUUCGGCAAUGGGGGGAACCCUGACCGAGCAACGCCGAGUGAGUGAAGAAGGUUGUCGGAUAGUAAAGCUCUGUUGUUAAGGAAGCGGUACUUAAACAGAAAGGGACGGCUAACUACGUGCCAGCCGCCGCGGUAAUAC